UAGCGAAAGAAAGGAUAUAAUAAGGUUCAUGAAAGAAAUCCAAGCUCAGGGUCUAUAUGCUACCCUCAGAAUUGGACCUUUUAUUGAAGCUGAAUGGACUUACGGGUAUAUUCUUACUGUCCAACUGUGCGCAUAAUAUAUGUCCACAUGAAUAAACAUUCGAGAGCAAAAAUGACCAAUUUCCUUGUAGGCGCAUGAUGAAGUUAUUUGAUGGUGCAGGGGAUUACCAUUUUGGUUGCAUGACAUCCCAGGCAUUGUCUUUCGAUCUGAUAAUCAACUCUUCAAGGUAAUCACUGAUUAUUAUGAUCACAACUCUCAACUUACAAACAAACUAGAAUUGAUUAUACAACAAAGGUGUUCACUUUGGUGAUGGCAGGAUCACAUGCAGAGGUUUGUAUCCAAAAUAGUGAACAUGAUGAAGUCAGAGAAAUUAUAUGCUUCACAAGGAGGACCAAUCAUAAUAUCACAGGUGCAGACCAUGACACAAGUACUUGCAGUAUAUUUUCCUUGCAAAAAUUGAGAUUACAAUGAUCUAAAAGUUGCAAGCGUACAGAUUGAGAAUGAGUACCAAACAAUUGAAGCAGCUUUUCAUGAGAAAGGGCCAAGAUAUGUUCGUUGGGCUGCAGCUAUGGCCGUGAGUCUUCAAACUGGCGUUCCCUGGGUGAUGUGUAAGCAAAUGGAUGCUCCUGACCCAGUGGUCAGUAAGAUUUCACAUGAUCUCAAAUGGCCUUUUCAAGUUCCUACAAGAACAAACUCGAUAUUCUUCAUAUAGUAUUUAUAAGCAUAAAUACGACACUAAUUAUAAAUGUGCAUGUUUGAAUGGAACAUCAAUAUAACAAGUUUGUCUUUCAAUCUGCACAGAUAAAUACAUGCAACGGAAUGCAAUGUGGAGAAACAUUUGCAGGACCCAAUUCACCCAAUAAGCCAUCAAUGUGGACAGAAAACUGGACAAGUUUGUAUGUUUUAAAGAAAUAACUUUCUUUUCUGAAAUUAGAUUUUAGAUUAUGCUUUAAAGAAGAACAGCUCCAAACAGAUUACCCCCUCUGUCCCACAAAUAUUGUCCACUAUUCCUUUUUGGGAUGUCCCAAAACGUAUACCUGUUUUAACAGAGUCAAAAAAAUUUUUAGUGGUUUCCUAUUCCACCCCUCAUAGCUCCAGAGUAAAAUGUGAUGUUAAUUGUAUUUUUGUACAUUUCAAAGCAAGCAACUCUAAGGAAAGAGAAAGAUGAAAAUUCUUGUAGAAAAUAAUGAGGGUUAUGAAAAGAUAAAUGAAAUGAGAAAUGUGAGUUUGCAUACUAUUAAUAAUGUUUGACAACCUUUUAGGGACAAAGGGAGUUUAUCAAAAGAAUACGAAGAAAGAAAAGAGUGCUAACAAGUAAUAAUUAGCUAUUGCAAUAAGAUGGCUAGUAGUGCAGCUUAUUUGCAAUAAUUUUUAUGAAGAGAAAAAAAAAAUGCGAAGACGUACCAUCAAUAUUUUUGUGAAACCAAUCUAGCAAAUGAAAUGGAAAAGCAAGAUUUUAUAAGUUGAAACUAAUUAAAGCCUUCAUGUUCUCUGAAGCUAUCAAGCAUAUGGUGGAGAGACAUACAUGAGAUCAGCUCAAGACAUAGCAUUUCAUGUUGCUUUAUUCAUUGCAAAAAAUGGAAGCUACAUAAAUUACUACAUGGUAUGAUAAUCACAUUCUUCGACUCUCUUUAUCAUCCUCAUGUAGUGCAUUCCAUGCUUUUUUAGUUUACAAUUCCUUAAUAAUCUAUAUUUGCUAGUACAUAAACACAAUAAACAUUAAAUUUAGUGAGAAAUUUUAAUUCUCUCUCUGAUUUAACAUAAUCAUAAUUGCAAAUAAAGUGCAAUAACAACAACAAUUUUUUUCCUGAAAACAUGACUCUGCUUACAGUAUCAUGGAGGAACCAAUUUUGGAAGAACAGCCUCCGCAUUUGUAAUAACAAGUUACUAUGAUCAAGCCCCCCUUGACGAGUAUGGUAUGUGUUACUAAAUAUUGUGUGCUAAUCACAUUAAUUUUUAAAAUUACAACGUAAAUUACUCAAUUGAUGAGUUCAGGUUUAAUUAGGCAACCAAAAUGGGGUCAUCUCAAGGAAUUGCAUACCACAAUAAAGUCAUGCUCAAAGACAUUACUUAAUGGAGCACACGAUACCUUCCCUUUGGGUAAACUACAAGAAGUAAGCAAACUAAAGAACUUCAGUGUGUUUCUUUCUGAAUCUUGUAAGUGUUAAUUAUUCUCUUUAGAGCAAUAUUUAAGCGUAAUUAAGUUUAGAUUGAAUUUCUUCCCCUAUUCAGGCUUAUGUUUUCAGAGGAAAUUCAGGGGAAUGUGUGGCCUUUCUGGUAAAUAAUGAUAUGAGAAAAGAUGUCAAAGUCCUCUUUCAAAAUAUUUCAUAUGAGUUGCCUCACAAGUCAAUCAGCAUUCUACCAGACUGCAAGACCAUAACCUUUAAUACAGCACAGGUAAGGCCUAAGUGCACGGUACUCAAUUUCUUAUCAUACUGGGACAGUUUCCUAAAUUUUAUAAGGUUUUUCACAUUGUUGUUUUUUUAUUUGCUUGACUGCAAUGAUUUUAGAUUACAUCAAGAACAAAUAAAAAAUUCUCUAUAAAAUAUGUGUUACAAAUGCAAUAACUAAAGAAUUAAGUAAUUGAAUUAUUUUUUCUUAUGAAUUGCUCCUUGAACAGGUAAACACACAAUCAAGUACAAGGUCUGUCAUAAAGAACCAGAAGUUCAACUCAAUAGAAAGAUGGGAAGAAUACAAAGAAACUAUUGCUACAUUUGAUAAGACUUCUUUAAGAGCAAAAACCUUGUUAGAUCACAUGAGCACAACAAAAGAUACGUCUGAUUAUCUUUGGUACACUUUCAGGUAAAAAAAAAAAAAAGAAGCUGGAG
rnacentral:misc_RNA from 1 species